rnacentral:piRNA from 1 species
CGAUCUGUGAAAGACUUGGAUGGCCGA